rnacentral:rRNA from 1 species
CCUUUAUUGCUGGCGGCUACUGCUGGGCGAGCCCUAUCAAAAGGCGAGCGUUUGGACUUCGGUCUGAGCUAGUAGCUUUUUUAUUUUAAACCCUUUACUUAAUACUGAUUAUACUGUGGGGACGAAAGUCUCUGCUUUUAACUAGAUAGCAACUUUCAGCAGUGGAUGUCUAGGUCGCACAUCGAUGAAGAACGCUGCGAACUGCGAUACGUAAUGCGAAUUGCAGGAUUCAGUGAGUCAUCGAAAUUUUGAACGCAUAUUGCACUUCCGGGUUAGUCCUGGAAGUAUGCCUGUAUCAGUGUCCGUACAACAAACUUGGCUUUCUUCCUUCCGUGUAGUCGGUGGAGGAGAUGCCAGAUGUGAAGUGUCUUGCGGUUGGUUUUCGGACCGACUGCGAGUCCUUUUAAAUGUACUAAACUGUACUUCUCUUUGCUCCAAAAGUGGUGGCAUUGCUGGUUGUGGACGCUGCUAUUGUAGCGAGUUGGCGACCGGUUUGUCUGCUGCGGCGUUAAUGGAGAAAUGCUCGAUUCGUGGUAUGGUUGGCUUCGGCUGAACAAUGCGCUUAUUGGGUGAUUUUCCUGCUGGGCGUGAUGGACUGGUGAACCAUGGCUCUUUAGCUUGGCAUUUGAAUCGGCUUUGCUG